ensembl:lncRNA
CGGCAGCCCUUCCUCCCUGACACGCUGUAAGAUGUCUGCCGCUGUCCCGUUUGUGGGAGAGGUAGCAAGAAGUUUCUGCCGAUUACCUGCAUGCCUGGCUUAAAAGCUAAAGCAAAGCACAGUUGGCAUACAAGAAACAGAUCAGCUGCCUUCUCCUGGAAAAAAAGCUGGCUGGCAUAAAAGCAGGAAGCUUGUGGAUUUGGCCAGAUGUUAAAAAAAAAAAAAAAAAAAAAAAAAGGUUGCCAUUAAUUUCAAAAGAUUACUUUUCCCUUUUCAUUGUGCCUGUAGUUGAGAAAUGUGAUUAGAAUCAGCAUCACAGAAUGAUAGAAUAGCUUGGGUUGGAAGGGACCUUAAAGAUUAUCUAGUUCCAACCCCUCUGCCACAGGCAGGGUUGCCAUGCUCUAGAUCAGGGUACCCAGGAUCCCAUUCAACUCACCUCCAGAGGUGGGGCAUCCACAGCUUCUCUGGGCAACCUCUUCCAUACCUUACCAGCCUCUGAGUCAAAAAAAAACCUUCCUCCUAGUGUCUAAUCUAAGUCUCCCUUCUUUCAGUUUAAAACCAUUCUCCUUUGUUCUAUCACUAUCAGCUUGUGUAAAAAAAAAAAAGUCAAUUUCCCUCUUGCUUGUAAGCUCCCUUCAAGUACUGGAAGGCUGCAAUGAUGUCUCCCCAGGGCCUUCCCCUUUCCAGGCUAAAGAAGCCCAGCUCCUUCAACCUUUCUUCAUAGGAGAAAUGCU